GAGCACGCGCGUGUGGCAUAUCAAUAAGCGGAGGAAAAGAAACUAACAAGGAUUCCCCUAGUAACGGCGAGUGAAGCGGGAAGAGCUCAAAUUUGAAAUCUUCAAGGUUUUACCUUGACGAAUUGUAGUCUAAAGAAGUGUUUUCGGUUAGAGGAGUAGUAAAAGUUCUUUGGAAUAGGACAUCAUAGAGGGUGAGAAUCCCGUAUUUGACUAUUCUUUCUAGCUUUGUGAUACACUUUCAAAGAGUCGGAUUGUUUGGGAAUGCAGUCCAAAAUGGGUGGUAAAUUUCAUCUAAAGCUAAAUAUUGGCGAGAGACCGAUAGCGAACAAGUACCGUGAGGGAAAGAUGAAAAGAACUUUGAAAAGAGAGUUAAUCAGUACGUGAAAUUGUCAAAAGGGAAGCGUUUGACACCAGUGUUGUUUUUCCGAAAAUCAAUUAUGAAUGGCUUGAUUUUAAGUUUCAUGACCUUAAAAGCUUGUUUCUUAUUUUUCAUGUCUUUCGUAAUGCACUUUUCGGUUAACAAGUCAACAUCAAUUUCUUUUGUUGUAAAAGGUUAAGAGGAAGGUGGCUUUACUUUUCGGCGUAAGUGUUUAUAGCCUUGUACCUCUGCAAUCGGAGAGAUUGAGGUCUGCAGCGUAGAUCCUUCGGGGUUAGAUACAUUUGUGCUAAGUUAUAGCUUUUCAUAGACAACUUGUUGACUAUGUUUAGUCUUGUAGCUUACUCGCUUAUGCUAUUUUACCUACGCUUAGGAUGUUGA
rnacentral:rRNA from 1 species